rnacentral:rRNA from 1 species
GACGAACGCUGGCGGCGUGCUUAACACAUGCAAGUCGAACGGAAAGGCCCUGCUUUUGUGGGGUGCUCGAGUGGCGAACGGGUGAGUAACACGUGAGUAACCUGCCCUUGACUUUGGGAUAACUUCAGGAAACUGGGGCUAAUACCGGAUAGGAGCUCCUGCUGCAUGGUGGGGGUUGGAAAGUUUCGGCGGUUGGGGAUGGACUCGCGGCUUAUCAGCUUGUUGGUGGGGUAGUGGCUUACCAAGGCUUUGACGGGUAGCCGGCCUGAGAGGGUGACCGGCCACAUUGGGACUGAGAUACGGCCCAGACUCCUACGGGAGGCAGCAGUGGGGAAUAUUGCACAAUGGGCGGAAGCCUGAGGCAGCAACGCCGCGUGCGGGAUGACGGCCUUCGGGUUGUAAACCGCUUUCGCCUGUGACGAAGCGUGAGUGACGGUAAUGGGUAAAGAAACACCGGCUAACUACGU